GCGAGAGAGGGAGAGAGAGUGAGCGGUUCUGAGCAACACUGAGAGCUUACGAGGGAAGAUGCCAGACAAAAAUAUGAAGUCUGGAGGAAAGACCUGAGCGCACUUCAAAACAGGAGCGAAAAUAACCACCGAGCACACAUUCUCAAUCCAAAAGAGAAACUUUAAAGGCAAAUCCAGGAUAUUUGUGGAUUGGAAUUGUUCCGGACGUUGACUGUGGAUGCUGUAACACUGUGUCAGACGGGAUCUCAAUAUUUAAAGCCAGCACAAAGCGUCCUCUCUCCUUCACAGCAGCUCUCUUUUUCUCUCUCGUCUGGAUAAACACACUGCUUUUUGGCCUCUGACCUCCAAAGCGGCCCUUUCCAUCUGGUCUCCAACUUCACGCUUUAAUCUUUAUCAUUUCCAAUUGAAAGUCGACCCGUUUUCCAUUCCAGCACCAGUUUGCUGUCGCGAUACAGGAGACAACAGGCUGAUUUCUGCAGAGAGAUUUCUCGACUUGUGCUUAUUUCGGAUGCGCACAAUCUGGACAACAGCUUCAAGGCAAACACUGAGAAGAUUUUGAAGAGGAUUUGGACACAUUUUGGAUGUGCACAGCUUUAAGAUAAACACAAACAAGAUAUGAAAGAGAUUUGGGAGUUGGUUCAAGACAAACACUGAGAAGAUUUUAAAGAGACUGAUUUUGGACUUUUGGUGUUUUUUUUUUUUUGGAUGUGCACAAUCUGGACAACAGCUUCAAAUCAAACCCUAAGAUGAUUUUAAAGAGAUGUUGGACUAGUUAUUUUGGAUUUGCACAGAUUUAAGGCAAACACUGAAAAGAUUUUGAAGAGAUUUUGCAUUUAUUUUGGGUGUGCACGGCUUCAGAUCAAACACUGAGAAGAUUUUGCACAGAAUUUGGAUGUGUUGUUAUUUUGGAUGUGCACAGUCUAUACAACAACAUCAAGGGCACUUGGAUUUGUUUUGGAUGUGCACCAAUUUAAGGCAAACAGGGAAUAUUUUGAAGAGAUUUUUGGACUUGCCAUUGUAAUUUUGUAUGUGCACGGCUUUAAGACAAGCACUGAGAAGAUUUUGAAAAGAUUUUGGUCUUAAAUUGGAUGUGUACGGCUUUAAGACAAGCACUGAGAAGAUUUUGAAAAGAUUUUGGACUUAUUUUGGAUGUACACAGCUUCAAAUCAAACACAGACAAUUUUGAAGAGAAUUUGGUCUUAUUUUGCAUGUGCACGGCUUCAAGACAAACACUGACAAGAUUUUGAGGAGUUAUUGGACUUAUUUUAGAUGUGCACAGCUUCAAAUCAAACACUGGGACUGUUUUAAAGAGAUUUUUGAACUUUUUAAUGUUAUUUUGUUGUGCACGGCUUUAAGGAAAACACUACGAAGAUUUUGAAGCGAUUUUGGUUUUGUUUUGGAUAUGCACGACUUCAAGACAAACACAGAGAAGAUCUUGAAGAAAUUUUGCACUUAUUUUGGAUGUGAACAGCUUCAAGACAAACUCUGAGAAGAUCUUGAGGAGUUAUUGGACUUAUUUUGGAUGUGCACGGCUUCAAAUCAAACUCUAAGUAAAUUUUGAAGCGGUUUUGAUCUUACUUUGGAUGUGAACAUCCUCAAGACAAACACUAAGAAGAUCUUGAGGAGAUGCUGGACUUAUUUUAGACGUGCACAGCUUCAAGACAAACACUGAGAAGAUCUUGAAGAGAUUUUGCACUUAUUUUAGAUGUGCACAUCUUCAAAUCAAACACUGGGACCGUUUUAAAGAGAUUUUUGGACUUGUAUUGUUAUUUUGAAUGUGCACGGCUUCAAGGAAAACACUAAGAAGAUUUUGAAGGGAUUUUGGUCUUAUUUUGGAUAUGCACGACUUCAAAGCAAAACUGUGAAAAUCUUGAAGAAAUUUUGGACUUAUUUUGGACAUUAACAGCUUCAAGACAAACACUGAGAAGAUCUUGAAGAGAUUUUGCACUUAUUUUAGAUGUGCACAGCUUUAAGGCAAAACUAAGAAGAUUUUGAGGAGAUUUUGGUCUUAUUUUAAAUGUGCAUGACUUCAAAUCAAACACAGAGAAGAUCUUGAAGAAAUGUUUGACUUAUUUCAGAUGUGCACGGCUUUAAGGCAAAACUGAGAAGAUCUUGAGGCGAUAUUGGACUUAUUUUGGAUGUGCACUGCUUCAAGUCAAACCCUGAGAAACAGAAAGACUUCACUGGCUGCUGUUGGAGUGAAAGAUUAAUGAACAUGUUUCUGCGUCUCUCUCUUCACACCACCGUCACACAGUUUCAUCCUUCAGCACAACCAACAAGCGUGGUGUUUUGAGCUUCAGUGGAUCGUCUGAGCUGCGGAUAUCAAGGAUCGCUGAAGAUUUUUUCAGGAAGCAAGAGGGUGGUGGGAAGACUGACAGAACUGGACCAGACGGAGGAAAGAGUGUCGGGGGAACGGACCGGGGCCGCCUGGAGCUUCCAGCAGUUCUUUCGGGUCCUGCAGGAAUGGAUGCAACAGCGGAGUAAAAAAGAGGACGGGAAGUUUCUGCUUUCCCACUGGUACAAUGUGUGCAGGCGUGGCUCCCCCUGGAGGUGGGGAUCAGUGAUGUUAAACAUGCUCCCCCAUGGCCAUCAUCACAGGUGUCGGGCCAUCGCGGAGGAGCCAGAGAACGACCGGGAGGAGAGGAUUCUGGCCAUACUGGGGAUUAUCGGCACCGUGCUCAACCUGCUGGUGGUCAUCUUCGUCUACAUCUACACCACGUUUUAAGUUUUCACACUACAGGAUGCCUCGACCUGAAGGAAUAAAGCAGAGGAGAACAGAGGCGGGAAAACACUGGCAUCCUUCAUCCUCACCGAAAACCAUCAAGCAGUGCCUGAGCUAUUCAAUCAGUCCCACAAAUGCAAGCGUUGCGUUUGAGACUAGCUUUUCGUUUCCGUCGGUACGAAAGAUUACACAUCAUUGAUUAUUUGUACAUGCGUUCAUCAUGUUGAUUUUUGUAUAGUCUUUAAGUGAUUAUGACUGCAUGUUCUGGGGUUUUCUUAUGUAUAGUAUCAUAUGCUAUUUCAGAUGUGUGUGACUUUCACUUGCAGAUGAUCGUUCAUCGGGGAUAAAGAGGGACGUGAAGAUACGGGUGUUUAAAUCUGUGUUUGAACAUGCAGAGAUGGGAAUGGUAUUAGUCAUUUAUGUGACACGUUAUAAUAACAGUACAUGAAUACUGAUGUUGCUUCAUUAUGAACUAGUGAUGAGUUAAGGCGUGCACUAUUCAAGAGCUACAACAUGAGUUACAUGACUACCUUGACUACUGGUUAGUUCAUGUUUGUUAAUUAGUUUAUUAGUUCUCAACACAGGCUCGUUGUGAAAAUGCACCUCCGUAUACAUUUAUGGAGAGUGCCGAUUAUGUAUCCAGAGUUCCGGAUGACAGCAUUUCAUUUUUAAAAUGAACACUAGGGGGCUGUAUGAUGCCGUUGACGACUUCAGUUUCUUUUCGUGCUACCAGCUGACCACUAGGGGGCUUUCAAGAGUUCACACUUAGCUCAUGAUUUAUACAUAGCUUGUUUGGCAUGCUGUCCCGGGAAAGAGCCCGUGAGCUCAAGGGAUCCUCGUCCCCAGGGCUCCCCCUUUUGCAGAGCGAGGGGAGAUUGAGCUUGAUCUCAAACUCCCCCACUGGUGAGGCCAAGGGGAACUUCCCAUGCUCCUCUCGAAAUUAGUUUAAAACUAAACUUCACGUAUGAUGCCGACGACGACUUCUGUUUCUUUUCCUGCUACCAGCUGACCGCUUACCUCUGUGUGGACGGCUUUUCCGAUGUUACCAGUUUGCCCAGUAGCUCGCCAUGUACAUUGACGGACUUGAGACACAGAGAAGAAUUGAUUGUGAUGACGUGGUUUGAGUCCGUCAAAGAAUGUUUCCAGAAAGCAGGUAAAACAAAAUCAAAAGGCACAGAAUAAAAUAAACAAGUAAAUAACAGAGUGAAAAUGUAGUAAAAUCUGAAAAUGUGGUAAAAAUCAGGCGGCCGCGAGGGCUUUUCUUUUUCUGAAUUGCUUUUGAAAACACUAUCGGUUGGGUUUAGGGAAGGGGCGGGCGCUGGUCAAUCUGUGCUUUUGAAAACACUAUCGGUUGAGUUAUGGGAAGGGGGUGGGUGGGUGUGUCAGUCAGUCAGUCAGUCAGUCAGUCAGUCGACAGUGGCCUCUGGUGGAUUUAACAAGAAUAGCAGGCACAAAUGGCACUUGCGAGAGAAAUUUGAAAUCUGAAAAAGCGUACACAGCGACCUCUGGUGGAUUUGUGAAAACAAAAAUUGCAAAAAAAACGUACCUCCUGGGAUGUAUUUGGUGCUUCUCAGAAAUGUAUAUAGGGGUAUGUAUCAAUAAUGGGCCUGGGUUGUUAUUUUGUUUAUUGUAUGUUUAUGUCAUGACUUUACUUUGAGGGGCGCAUUAUCAUCAACUCAUUCUAAUCUUUGCAUUUUUAUUGUUUAAACAGUUUUGAAUGUCCUUCUAGUGUGUUAUUUGCGUUGAAAAAAACAAUAUAAGAAAGAAAGUAAAUAACAGGGUAAGAAUGUGGUAAGAACUAUAAUAAACGUGGUGAAAUUUAGGCGGCCGUGAGGGCUCUUCUUUUUUUGAAUUGCUUUUGAAAACACCAACCUAAGCUCAUUCUCAAAAAGCGUAGUCCCGCGGACGUUUCUGGAGACAGCGGAAUACGUCCCGGGGGGUACGUACAGCUGCGUUUAUUUUUUUCAAGCGAACGCUGCGGGGCGGUGUGACGCUGUUCCCUUUCGCGCUUGCCUUACCUCCUUGUGGAGGGCUUCCCCGCUGCAACCCGUUUGUCCACUCAGCGUGUACGUCGGCAGGUUCGAGAUGCAGAGGAGUUGACCACGGUGACCGGUUUCGAGUCCGGGGAAGAGCAGUUCCAGCCAUCAGGUAAGACGAAAACAGAAUACCAAAAAUUAAGAGAACGAGUUUCGUAACAGGGUGAGAACGCGGCGAAAUCCGAAAACGUGGUAGAAAAAAAAAAGGGGAUUGGUCGGUCAGUCAGUCAGUCAAUCGACAGCAACCUCUGGUGGAUUUACGCAAGAACAGCUCGUGAGAGAAAUUUGAGAUCUGAAAAAGCGUACACAGCGCCCUCUGGUGCAUCCGGAAGAACAAAACCUGUAAAAAAAAAAGUACCUCCUGGGAUAUAUUUGGGGCUCUUCAGAAAUGUAUACAGGGGUACAUAUCAAUGAGUCUGGGUUGUUAGUUUUAGCUAAAUGUACCUAACAUUAAUUGAGUUGUUAAUGCAUGUUUAUGUCAUAACUUUAUUUGGAGGGGCGCAUUAUCAUUAACUCAUUCUUAAUUCUUGACACCUUAAUAUUGUUUAUAUUAAUACACACAAGAAGGACAUUCAUGUUACAUUUAAAUAAUAAAAGUUCAUGCGUAGUUAAGAAAAAGUUAAUGAUAAUGUGCCCCUCCAAGUAAAGUCAUGACAUAAACAAACAUUAACAGCUCAUGAGUUCAUGUUAGUUACGUUUAACUAAAACUGAAGUGUUAAUGAAUCUAUUAACAUACAUAAACGAACAAUGUGACUUUUGUUGUGAGAUUAGCGCAUGCCUUAAAAUUAGUUUAUAAUGAAUGAACACUUAAUUAACAUAUUCAUACAUCAUUAUUCAUGUACUGUUAUUGUAAGUAAGUGUUGCCAGUUGUUUUUGUUGAUUUGUCUCUAUAAGCACAACGAAGCAGAAUGCCACAUGAUGUCUUGUUCUCAGGUGUUGUUUAUUGCAGGGUUUGUGGGAACGUUUACUUGAAAAGUGAAGGUUGAUAAUAAUCAGCCUCUUUAAUUGGCCGUCACGCUCCCAUAAUGAGACUGAUCUCUGUUAACACUUUCUAUUCAAUGUGCUUUUUGAAACUGAAAUCUGUCAAUCUGAGGAAAACAGUGCUGUAAUAGUUUUGUACCACAAGAGUUGUUUGACAGUCGGAGUGAGUCAAGAGAAAGACGAGUUAAAAAUACGCUUUUAUAACGUCACGAGAAAUGGUUCGACUGUUGAAAUGGGCUUUUAGCUUCUUCCACAAUGUUUUGAAAGAAAACAUUAAAAUUUAAUCAAGC
rnacentral:lncRNA from 1 species